UACAUGAUGACCAUAUCCUUCCUUAUUUG
rnacentral:piRNA from 1 species